AAGAGGAGGAAAUGGAGAAGGAGAAAUAAGUUCCCUUUUCCCACGAAUCUGGACGGCGGGGUGUCGAGAGCAGCUGGAGAUCUGCCUACCCAUAAACCUCUCCCCUUCCCCUCUCCUCCCCUCCCCUCCCCUGCUCAAGGAUCCCAGAAGCUCCGCACUGUCCUGCCUUCGUGUGUAUGUGGAAAGGAAAAAUGAGUAGAACUGAUUGAUGCAUUUGGUAAAAGUUGUGCAAUGUCUAACAGCUGUGGAUCUCUCACCUCCUGGACAGUGUGGAGUGAUGUCAGUUGUUGAUCCUAAUGGGGCCUUGGCCUCCAACUGCAUAUCUCAGUGGGACUCUGGCAUCUGAUUGGUGACCUGAAGGGACAUCUAGCUCCUGAAUGGUGGUCUUAAAGGAAUUGGCAGCAGCCUUCAUUGCAAUGACAAGAAUUUGAGAUUGGAAGAAUAAACUCAAUCACAGUCUCUUCUCCUCUUUCAAAAUCCCAGGAG